rnacentral:rRNA from 1 species
GGGCCCGCACAAGCGGUGGAGUAUGUGGUUUAAUUCGACGCAACGCGCAGAACCUUACCCAGUCUUAACAUCCCGAGAAGCAGACAGAGAUGUCAGCGUGCUGCCGCAAGGUAGAACUCGGUGAUAGGUGCUGCAUGGCUGUCGUCAGCUCGUGUCGUGAGAUGUUCGGUUAAGUCCGGUAACGAGCGCAACCCCUAUCCUUAGUUGCCAAUUAUGGAACUCUAAGGAGACUGCCGGUGUCAAACCGGAGGAAGGUGGGGACGACGUCAAGUCCUCAUGGCCCUUACGACUGGGGCUACACACGUACUACAAUGGCGACUACAGAGGGACGCAAGACUGUGAAGUGGAGCAAAUCCCCAAAAGUCGCCUCAGUUCAGAUUGUAGUCUGCAACUCGACUACAUGAAGUUGGAAUCGCUAGUAAUCGCGUAA